rnacentral:rRNA from 1 species
UAGCGGCGGACGGGUGAGUAACACGUAGGCAACCUGCCCUUCACACUGGGAUAACUACCGGAAACGGUAGCUAAUACCGGAUAAUCCCUUUCUCCCUAUGGAGGAAGGCUAAAAGACGGAGCAAUCUGUCACUGAGGGAUGGGCCUGCGGCGCAUUAGCUAGUUGGUGGGGUAACGGCUCACCAAGGCGACGAUGCGUAGCCGACCUGAGAGGGUGAACGGCCACACUGGGACUGAGACACGGCCCAGACUCCUACGGGAGGCAGCAGUAGGGAAUCUUCCGCAAUGGGCGAAAGCCUGACGGAGCAAUGCCGCGUGAGUGAUGAAGGUUUUCGGAUCGUAAAGCUCUGUUGCCAGGGAAGAACGUCCGGUAGAGUAACUGCUACCGGAGUGACGGUACCUGAGAAGAAAGCCCCGGCUAACUACGUGCCAGCAGCCGCGGUAAUACGUAGGGGGCAAGCGUUGUCCGGAAUUAUUGGGCGUAAAGCGCGCGCAGGCGGCUACUUAAGUCUGGUGUUUAAACCUUGGGCUCAACCUGAGGUCGCACUGGAAACUGGGUGGCUUGAGUACAGAAGAGGAAAGUGGAAUUCCACGUGUAGCGGUGAAAUGCGUAGAGAUGUGGAGGAACACCAGUGGCGAAAGCGACUUUCUGGGCUGUAACUGACGCUGAGCGCGAAAGCGUGGGGAGCAAACAGAUUAGAUACCCUGGUAGUCCACGCCGUAAACGAUGAGUGCUAGUGUUAGGGGUUUCGAUACCCUUGGUG